rnacentral:rRNA from 1 species
UACAGAGACUGCAAGCGUUGUUCGGAAUCAUUGGGCGUAAAGGGCGCGUAGGCGGCUUUGUAAGUCCGUUGUGAAAUCCCUCGGCUCAACCGAGGAACUGCGACGGAUACUGCUUGGCUUGAGUCCCGGAGAGGGUAGCGGAAUUCCCAGUGUAGCGGUGAAAUGCGUAGAUAUUGGGAGGAACAUCGGUGGCGAAGGCGGCUACCUGGACGGGUACUGACGCUGAUGCGCGAAAGCUAGGGGAGCAAGCAGG